UACGUAGGGCGCAAGCGUUGUCCGGAAUUAUUGGGCGUAAAGAGCUCGUAGGCGGCUUGUCACGUCGGGUGUGAAAGCCCGGGGCUUAACCCCGGGUCUGCAUUCGAUACGGGCUAGCUAGAGUGUGGUAGGGGAGAUCGGAAUUCCUGGUGUAGCGGUGAAAUGCGCAGAUAUCAGGAGGAACACCAGCGGCGAAGGCGGCGCUCUGGGCCGGUACUGACGCUGAGGAGCGAAAGCGUGGGUAGCAAACAGG
rnacentral:rRNA from 1 species